UACGUAGGGUGCAAGCGUUGUCCGGAAUUAUUGGGCGUAAAGCGUGCGCAGGCGGUUUUGUAAGUUUGUCGUGAAAUCCCCGGGCUCAACCUGGGAAUUGCGAUGAAGACUGCAAGGCUAGAAUCUGGCAGAGGGGGGUAGAAUUCCACGUGUAGCAGUGAAAUGCGUAGAGAUGUGGAGGAACACCGAUGGCGAAGGCAGCCCCCUGGGUCAAGAUUGACGCUCAUGCACGAAAGCGUGGGGAGCAAACAGG
rnacentral:rRNA from 1 species